rnacentral:misc_RNA from 1 species
GAUGAAGAACGCAGCGAAACGCGAUAAGUAAUGUGAAUUGCAGAAUUUAGUGAAUCAUCGAAUCUUUGAACGCACAUUGCGCCCGCUAGUAUUCUGGCGGGCAUGCCUGUCCGAGCGUCAUUUCAACCCUCAAGCCCCCGGGCUUGGUGUUGGGGAUCGGCGAGCCUCCGCGCCCGCCGUCCCCUAAAUCUAGUGGCGGUCUCGCUGUAGCUUCCUCUGCGUAGUAGCACACCUCGCACUGGGAAACAGCGCGGCCACGCCGUUAAACCCCCAACUUCUGAACGUUUGACCUCGGAUCAGGUAGGAAUACCCGCUGAACUUAAGCAUAUCAAUAAGCGGAGGA